rnacentral:rRNA from 1 species
GACGAACGCUGGCGGCGUGCUUAACACAUGCAAGUCGAGCGGAGAUAUAUGAAAGCUUGCUUUUAUGUAUCUUAGCGGCGGACGGGUGAGUAACGCGUGGGCAACCUGCCUUGUACUGGGGAAUAACACCGGGAAACUGGUGCUAAUACCGCAUAAUAUCACGAUGUGGCAUCAUGUUGUGAUCAAAGGGGCAAUCCGGUAUGAGAUGGGCCCGCGUCCGAUUAGCUAGUUGGUAGGGUAAUGGCCUACCAGGGCGACGAUCGGUAGCCGAACUGGGAGGUUGAUCGGCCACAUUGGGACUGAGACACGGCCCAGACUCCUACGGGAGUCAGCAGGGGGGAAUAUUGCGCAAUGGGGGAAAACCUGACGCAGCAACGCCGCGUGAAGGAUGAAGGCUUUCGGGUUGUAAACUUCUUUGAUGAGGGACGAUAAUGACGGUACCUCGAAAACAAGCCACGGCUAACUACGUGCCAGCAGCCGCGGUAA